AUUUAGGAACGAUUAAAGCAAGGGAAUAUGCAGAGCAUAGCAAUCCCUUGUAGCAGAUUCCCCCAAUAAGAGACAGGACUCCAAAUUAAGGGUGAAGUAGAACUGUCUCUUAUUGGGGGAAUCUGCUACAAGGGAUUGAUAUGCUCUGCAUAUUCCCUUGCUUUAAUCAUUCCUAAGUUC